ensembl:lncRNA
CACACACAGAGAGAGAGACAAAAAAAAAAAACACCACCCAACCGUACUAGGCCUGAACCAGAGAGACAAAUGGAGAGCAGGUUACGGGGCUACGCCAUGAUUGCGAUUGCUCAGCACUUCCAGUAAAUGUAUGCACAGACAGCUGCCAUUAGACGGCUGCUGAUACUUCAACCGGCGGGCACCUUCUAAGUGUUGAUGAGGUGGCCGCUUACCGCACUCUGAGCUCGGGUACUUGGAAUGCAUAAUUCUCGGUCGCCGCACUUUUAAAAUGACAUGAGGAUCGGAGGGCGACCUUUCCAUGGCUCAGCUUUAAAAAGCCAUGAUAUCAUCUCUGAAUAUUUAAUGGCUUUCCACGUAGCCUCAGAGAAAAAGGAAAGGAAAAGGAACACGAGGGGGGGGGGGGCUGAGGUCCCGAAAGGAAGCAUGUCUGUGAGUAAAACUAAAGAUGUCACUUUUUAGCCUCUGUCGUAGCAUUUUCUUUUCUCUGCAGUCUCUCCAGAUCGGUGCACAGAGAGCGCUGGAGCCGAAAGAUCCUUGUAGGCCCCAGCAAAGCCACUGAGCUCGGCCAUAAUUUAUGGAGCAAAAGGCCCUCGGUGCUCUGCGCCUACAAUAUUUAUCGACUCAGAGAGUGGUGUUUCGCUGACCUGCCAUCCGAUAGGCAAAGAGAGGGCAAAACUUCAUUUUACUGCUUUAUGUCAUUUUUUUUAUUAUUUUUUUUAUUUUUCACAGAGUACAACUUUUCUUUUGUCAACAGGUCGGACAGAGCUUGAAGCACAUUUCUCCUGUGCUGUUUUAAAGGCGUUUUUCAGCGUCACAGAUGCUGACCUAUAAGAUCAAAAAAGAUAAAUGUCUGCUGGAACUGAGUCUUAGCUGCUAAGCACUGUUGGGAAAGCUUCUUUUGAAAGCAUAGCGAAGCUUUUCAAGCUACCAACUACCUCACUCUGGAGGGUGUUGAACUACAGCAAAGCAACCCUAGGAGGAAACCUAAGUUGGUUAACUAUAUCUAUUUAGAAAAAGUAGUUUCAACUGAAGAUCAAUUUGAGCAUGUACAUGUGAUAGGAAAUAAUCAAUCGAGU